UACGUAGGGCGCAAGCGUUGUCCGGAAUUAUUGGGCGUAAAGAGCUCGUAGGCGGUUUGUCGCGUCUGCCGUGAAAGUCCGGGGCUCAACUCCGGAUCUGCGGUGGGUACGGGCAGACUAGAGUGAUGUAGGGGAGACUGGAAUUCCUGGUGUAGCGGUGAAAUGCGCAGAUAUCAGGAGGAACACCGAUGGCGAAGGCAGGUCUCUGGGCCACUACUGACGCUGAGAAGCGAAAGCAUGGGGAGCGAACAGG
rnacentral:rRNA from 1 species